AACGUAGGUACCGAGCGUUAUCCGGAUUUACUGGGCGUAAAGCGCGUUCAGGCGGUUUGGCAAGUCGGGCAUGAAAUCUCUCGGCUCAACCGGGAGAGGUUGUCCGAUACUUCCAGACUUGAGGGCAGUAGAGGGUGGUGGAAUUCCGGGUGUAGUGGUGAAAUGCGUAGAUAUCCGGAGGAACACCAGUGGCGAAAGCGGCCACCUGGACUGCAACUGACGCUGACACGCGAAAGCUAGGGGAGCGAACGGG
rnacentral:rRNA from 1 species